CAGCCGCCGCGGGAAUACAGAGGGUGCGAGCGUUAAUCGGAUUUACUGGGCGUAAAGCGCGCGUAGGCGGUUACUCAAGUCAGAGGUGAAAGCCCGGGGCUCAACCCCGGAACUGCCUUUGAAACUAGGUGACUAGAAUCUUGGAGAGGUCAGUGGAAUUCCGAGUGUAGAGGUGAAAUUCGUAGAUAUUCGGAAGAACACCAGUGGCGAAGGCGACUGACUGGACAAGUAUUGACGCUGAGGUGCGAAAGCGUGGGGAGCAAACAGGAUUAGAUACCCCCGUAGUCCCUGUCUCUUAUAC
rnacentral:rRNA from 1 species